rnacentral:rRNA from 1 species
GCUGAUAUUCUAGCCCCCCCACAACCAAUGAACCAUUAGGCCUUUAUGAAUUUACUAAAACAUUCUUUAAGUCUAGUAAAGGCGAUUAAAAAACUGCCAGGAGCUAUAUAAAUAGUACCGCAAGGGAAAGAUGAAAUAAAAAUGAAAUAAAUAACAAGCACAAAAAAGUAGAGAUAAACCCUCGUACCUUUUGCAUCAUGGUUUAACAAGUCUAAUCAAGCACAACGACUUACAGUUUGACCCCCCGAAACUAAGUGAGCUACUUCAGGGCAGCUUAUUGAGCAAACCCGUCUCUGUUGCAAAAGAGUGGGAAGACCUUCAAGUAGAGGUGACAGGCCUAACGAACUUAGUGAUAGCUGGUUACUCAAGAAAAGGAUUUAAGUCCCGCCUAAAGUUCAUUUGAUAAAGUAAAAUAACACUUUGACUUUAGAGUAAUUCAAAUAAGGUACAGCCUAUUUGAAAUAGGAUACAACCUCUACUAACGGGUAAUUUACUAAUUUAAUAAUUCAAGUAGGCCUAAAAGCAGCCACCUUUAAAAUAGCGUCAAAGCUUUAUUAAAUAUUUUGUCUAAUAAUCUGAUUUAACUAAAACCCUUUAUUUAUAUUGAGUAAUUCUAUAUUUCUAUAGAACCUACAAUGUUAAGACUAGUAACAAGAAGAAGCCCUUCUCUUAAAUGCAAGUGUAAAUCAGCAAGGACAACCCCCUGAUAAUCAACACCCAUGAAAUUAUAUUAGUAACUUCACAAGAAAAUCCUAGUACAACAUGUGUUAACCUAACACAAGAGCAUUCCAAGAAAGAUUAAAAGAAAAAGAAGGAACUUGGCAAAUAUUAACCCCGCCUGUUUACCAAAAACAUCGCCUCUUGAAUAACUAUAAGAGGUCCAGCCUGCCCAGUGACU